rnacentral:rRNA from 1 species
UACGGGGGGGGCAAGCGUUGUUCGGAAUUACUGGGCGUAAAGGGCUCGUAGGCGGCCAACUAAGUCAGACGUGAAAUCCCUCGGCUUAACCGGGGAACUGCGUCUGAUACUGGAUGGCUUGAGUUUGGGAGAGGGAUGCGGAAUUCCAGGUGUAGCGGUGAAAUGCGUAGAUAUCUGGAGGAACGCCGGAGGCGAAAGCGGCGCUCUGGACCGAGACUGACGCUGAGGCGCGAAAGCGUGGGGAGCAAACAGG